rnacentral:sRNA from 1 species
GAAGAGAAAGAGCGAAGCCAGCAGUGAAUUUGCAAAGAAGAAGUCCAUCCAGGAGCAGAGGCAGUACCUGCCCAUCUUUGCAGUGCAGCAGGAGCUGCUCACUAUUAUCAGAGACAACAGCAUCGUGAUCGUGGUUGGGGAGACGGGGAGUGGUAAGACCACUCAGCUGACACAGUACCUGCAUGAAGAUGGUUACACGGACUAUGGGAUGAUUGGGUGUACCCAGCCCCGGCGUGUAGCUGCCAUGUCAGUGGCCAAGAGAGUCAGUGAAGAGAUGGGGGGAAACCUUGGCGAGGAGGUGGGCUAUGCCAUCCGCUUUGAAGACUGCACUUCAGAGAACACCUUGAUCAAAUACAUGACUGACGGGAUCCUGCUCCGAGAGUCCCUCCGGGAAGCCGACCUGGAUCACUACAGUGCCAUCAUCAUGGACGAGGCCCACGAGCGCUCCCUCAACACUGACGUGCUCUUUGGGCUGCUCCGGGAGGUGAGGGCUGUGUGGUUUGGUCUCUCUGCACAUGGGGUGUUGACCAGUGCACCACCAGUAGCUAGUGGGGUGCUCCAGGUGGGCUGAGGGGGUCUCUGGUAGGCCAGAGGUUCCUGAGGCCUCUGGUUGCAGUUCAGACUCGGGUUGUAGUUCAUGCUGUUCUUGCUUUGCUGAGGGUGGCUUGGGGUUUUCUGGGCAGUGGCUCCAUUGCUUCAGUCUUCAGGAUUGGUAGGAAUUGAAUAGGCCCAUUUGCAGCUUUGGCUUGUGUUUCCUCGGGGGUGGUGCUGAUGGGACUGGGGGACAGGAGCCAAGGGUCCCCACCAUGGGGGCCUCCGAGCCGCCUCUUCUCUCAGGUAGUGGCUCGGCGUUCAGACCUGAAGCUCAUCGUCACAUCAGCCACGAUGGAUGCGGAGAAGUUUGCU